rnacentral:rRNA from 1 species
ACGCUCGACACCUACGGGAGCAGCAGUGGGGAAUAUUGCACAAUGGGGGAAACCCUGAUGCAGCGACGCCGCGUGAGCGAAGAAGUAUUUCGGUAUGUAAAGCUCUAUCAGCAGGGAAGAAACUGACGGUACCUGACUAAGAAGCACCGGCUAAAUACGUGCCCNAGCCGCGGUAAUCUGAGCGGGCGUGGCAAGGC